rnacentral:rRNA from 1 species
GAUGAACGCUGGCGGCGUGCCUAAUACAUGCAAGUCGAGCGAACAGACGAGGAGCUUGCUCCUCUGACGUUAGCGGCGGACGGGUGAGUAACACGUGGAUAACCUACCUAUAAGUCUGGGAUCACUUCGGGAAACCGGAGCUAAUACCGGAUAAUAUAUUGAACCGCAUGGUUCAAUAGUGAAUGACGGCUUUGCUGUUACUUAUAGCUGGAUCCGCGCCGCAUUAGCUAGUUGGUAAGGUAACGGCUUACCAAGGCAACGAUGCGUAGCCGACCUGAGAGGGUGAUCGGCCACACUGGAACUGAGACACGGUCCAGACUCCUACGGGAGGCAGCAGUAGGGAAUCUUCCGCAAUGGGCGAAAGCCUGACGGAGCAACGCCGCGUGAGUGAUGAAGGUCUUCGGAUCGUAAAACUCUGUUAUUAGGGAAGAACAAAUGUGUAAGUAACUAUGCACGUCUUGACGGUACCGAAUCAGAAAGCCACGGCUAACUACGUG